GCACAGCCAGCUCUAAACGGCCUGCCAAGCUGCCUCGCAGCCCCUGUCCCGCGGUGCUGUGGCACGGAGCGAUGAGAAUCUGCGGACAACUGCCGCUGCUUAAGGAGGGGAUUCCACAGGCACCAGACCGCAGGCUUCCUGUUUAUGUCCAAGGACAGAAAUGAAGAUUUGUUUUCAUAGUGUCAGCCCACAGAAUAAACCCUCGGUCUCGCUGUGAGCCCAGCAGAAGGGGUCAUUCCGGGCCUUCCUGUGCCUGGCAUCCCGCUCCCCUUCUUCCUGGCACACAGGGACAGGGCAGGGGGCUGUGAGGCUGAGGGUCCCCUCCAGAAGGACUUCCUGCUGGAGCGGCCGGCUCCUCGCAUGCCCCACGGUUGCAGGGCUGAGUCCAGAGCAGGCUGAGCACAACUCGCUUUUCUUGUGAGCUCCAGUCCCUCCAAAACUCAGGAAGAAUGCUUUAUGCAAAGCGUCUGCUCUUUCCCAGUGUCAGAGGAGGAAAGCCCUACCUGACCAGCAAGGUGUGUAACAGUUAAACAGGCUGGCCCCAGGGGUGGCAGGAGACAGCAAACCCUGCUAAUCGCCUCGCCGGGAUGUUUUUUCCCGUUACUAUUUUCUGUCUCCAGAUCAGGCCAGAACUAAGAUUAAUAGAGUGACACGUCCUAAAACGGAUAUUGCUUAUUCCUGUGAUAAGCUCACUUUUCCAAGUCUAUGCACUUGUACUUGUUGGUUAGCCUUGUGCAGAUUUUGAAGGAAGCUUCAGGCUGAAGUUCUUUCUAUUUGAAUAUGAAAAAGGUUUUCAGAGUUCCUGAGCAGGAAGUCCUGAUGACCUCCAGUAGCAGCUAUGGGAAGCACAGCACCGAUGGGGGCCCACUGCUCACCAACAGUGCGUGUACCGAGCUCGCAGCCCCUCCAGGGCACAGCCACCUUUGAAAACACAGCAAAUUGCCCCUCGUGAAAACACAGCUAAUUGCCCAGACUGACCCAGUUAACCAGCAGCUGAGGCAGAACAAGGGCCAUGGGAGAGGCCGCCGCAGCCCCCCGGCGCGGGCUGGGUCUUGUGGGCACUGGGGCUGCAGGGGCGAAGCUGCGGGAGGCGAUUCUGGGCCUGGGGCAGCUGGCGGAGACCUGCGCUGAAAGCCUUCAGAAAGGCUUAAACAGCGUCGUGUCACCCCACUGAAACUUGUUACUUCUAACUCCAAGUCCUUGGAACAUAAUCAGAAUCUACUACUGAAAAAUAUUUCUGGAGUCGAAUUGUAUUGGCACAAUAAUUGCAAACACUUUGGAGACAUGCACCUUGUGAAUUAAGGCCACUGCGUAUUUUGUGACUAUGAAUUACAGGGUGUUUCAAGGAUAUAUCUGAAAAUGUUUAUUUUUCUCUUGUACUGUGGUUUCUAUAUUGUUAAGUUCCAUUUUUGUGUAAAUAUUAGUGAAAAUUGACUUUGCAAUAUCUGCAGAGACGGUGUUACUUGGUAUUUCAGCUUCUCAGGUUAUGUAACUGCUUUAAUUAAAUACUAGUAAAAAAAUCCCCUUAUUUGUAUGUAGUUUUAAUGAAUAAGAAGGUUUUGGGUUUUAAUCAAGCACAGGUUUGUUUGCACGUACAUUUGGUGUUAGGCAUGGCUUUUGAAGUUGUAACUAUUUUUAGUGACAGCAGAGCUGCAGCCGCAGAGUUACUGGCACUGUACCUAGCAACCUUCGUUGGAACAGGCACCAAUAAAAUUCUGAAACACUU